GACGAACCGUGCAAACGUUGUUCGGAAUCACUGGGCUUAAAGGGCGCGUAGGCGGCUUCCCAAGUCCGGGGUGAAAUCUUUCGGCUUAACCGGAAAAGUGCCUUGGAUACUGGGAGGCUCGAGGGGGGUAGGGGCAAGCGGAACUUCCGGUGGAGCGGUGAAAUGCGUUGAUAUCGGAAGGAACGCCGGCGGCGAAAGCGGCUUGCUGGACCCCAUCUGACGCUGAUGCGCGAAAACCAGGGGAGCGAACGGG
rnacentral:rRNA from 1 species